rnacentral:lncRNA from 1 species
AGAUCUGCCUGCCUCUGCCGCUGAAGGGCUGAGAGGCCCAUACCCACCCCUGGCUCAGACUGAACUUUCAUGUGACUAUUUUUCAGUUUUUGGCAGAUGAGCCAAUUGCCCAUAGUAACCUCCCUGAGACAUGGCGAUUAUGGGCUUAUAAGGGAAGCGAGGGAAGUCCUUCUUCUUUCUUUUCUUUUUUUUAAAGAAUUAUUUCAUUUUAUUUUAUUUAUAUGAGUAGACUGUCGCUGUCUUCAGACACACCAGAAGAGGAAAUUGGAUGGCAUUACAGAUGGUUGUGAGCCACCAUGUGGUUGCUGGGAAUUGAACUCAGGAACUUUGGAAGAGCAGUCGGUGCUCUUAACCACCAAGCCAUUUCUCCAGCCCCUCCUUCCUUCUUUCUAUGAAUGUCUUUAAUCUGUGUGUAGCACAUGUCUGUGUGGGGGUUGUGCAGCUGUGUUUGUUCCCAGAAGAGCGAGGAGGCUUCACAUCCCCUGGGAUUGGAGUUACAGCCUCCCCCAGCCUUGAAGCUGGCUGAUUCAGACUUUGACCUUGCUGCCACUGAGAAUGAGACCACCUGGGGUGGAGCCUUCAGACCUAGAAGGCUCUAUUGUUCUGUCACCUGCUGCUGCUCUUCUCCA